rnacentral:tRNA from 2 species
GCAUCAUUAGCUCAGUUGGUAGAGCAGGAGACUCUUAAUCUUCGGGUCACAGGUUCGAGCCCUGUAUGGUGUACCA